rnacentral:rRNA from 1 species
UGCGUAGGCGGGUUUUUAAGUCAGGGGUGAAAUCCUGGAGCUCAACUCCAGAACUGCCUUUGAUACUGAGAAUCUUGAGUUCGGGAGAGGUGAGUGGAACUGCGAGUGUAGAGGUGAAAUUCGUAGAUAUUCGCAAGAACACCAGUGGCGAAGGCGGCUCACUGGCCCGAUACUGACGCUGAGGCACGAAAGCGUGGGAGCAAACA